CCUCGCCCUCCUCCUCCUCCUCUUUGCCCUCCAUCACUUGCUUCUCCAGCUCCUUCGUCACCUCAGCAACACUGUCCCCCUCUGGACCUGCAACAAGUCACAAACUGAUGAUGCGGGAGUGCACCUUGUCCUUCGGUAGGCCUGACUUGAAUUCCAUAAGUGAUCCUGAACCCGCAUGGCGAACGGGGAGAACCGAUAAGUCCAACUCAACAGGUCAGAGUACUUCCGGCUAAAUUUCCACAAUAAACCAUUCCGUUGUUGAAUUUGUUUCCGAAGCUGUAUCUUCGAGAAUGCAUCCACAAUACUCGGUGUACAGAGGAGCGACAGUGGUUUCUCUACAGUGUUCUGACUGGAAUUCCAACGUGCACAACAAAUCCAACAGUGUAGAUGCUUUUAUUUUGAAGACAGAUUCUGAUUGUUUCCGGGUUUGCACGUUAUAAAACUGUCGCAGCAGCACCACCAACAGGUAGCAUUUGCUAAGCUAAGCCUUAUCGCGACAGUCUCACCGGCUGCACUCGACUUGUUCUUCUUUUUCUUUUUCUUCUUUUUCUUCGCGGCCGCCUCUUCCACCGGGUCGCCGCCCUCUCGAUCCGCGGUCUCG